rnacentral:rRNA from 1 species
AUUGAACGCUGGCGGCAUGCCUUACACAUGCAAGUCGAACGGUAACGGGUCCUUCGGGAUGCCGACGAGUGGCGAACGGGUGAGUAAUAUAUCGGAACGUGCCCAGUAGUGGGGGAUAACUGCUCGAAAGAGCAGCUAAUACCGCAUACGACCUGAGGGUGAAAGGGGGGGAUCGCAAGACCUCUCGCUAUUGGAGCGGCCGAUAUCAGAUUAGCUAGUUGGUGGGGUAAAGGCCUACCAAGGCAACGAUCUGUAGUUGGUCUGAGAGGACGACCAGCCACACUGGGACUGAGACACGGCCCAGACUCCUACGGGAGGCAGCAGUGGGGAAUUUUGGACAAUGGGCGCAAGCCUGAUUCAGCAAUGCCGCGUGCAGGAAGAAGGCCUUCGGGUUGUAAACUGCUUUUGUCAGGGAAGAAAUCUUCUGGGCUAAUACCCCGGGAGGAUGAUGGUACCUGAAGAAUAAGCACCGGCUAACUACGUGCCAGCCGCCGCGGUAA